AUCGUUUAUUUUCAAAUAUUCACUAAUAAACAUUAAAUCUGUUCUUAUCAGUUUAAUAUCUGAUAUGUCCUUUAUUUGAGGACUAUAUAUUAAAUGGAUUUUUGAAACAGGGGGUUGGAAUAGGAGCUUGCUCUAUCCACCCCAUGCAUUGGCCUGGUAUUGCAGUGUCUCCAGGAGCGGUGCCUCUCCU
ensembl:snRNA U2 U2 spliceosomal RNA